rnacentral:tRNA from 1 species
GCAGCUCAGUGGUAGAGUGCUUGCCUUGCAUGCAUGAGGACCUGGGUUCGAUUCCUUAGCA